UACGUAGGGGGCAAGCGUUGUCCGGAAUCAUUGGGCGUAAAGAGCUCGUAGGUGGUUCGGUUAGUCGGAUGUGAAAUCUCCAGGCUCAACCUGGAGGGGUCAUUCGAUACUGCCGUGACUAGAGUUCGGUAGAGGAGUGUGGAAUUCCUGGUGGAGCGGUGAAAUGCGCAGAGAUCAGGAGGAACACCCGUAGCGAAGGCGGCACUCUGGGCCGAUACUGACACUGAGGAGCGAAAGCGUGGGGAGCGAACAGG
rnacentral:rRNA from 1 species